rnacentral:rRNA from 1 species
AAAAAUGUACCGGGGCUAAAACAUAUUACCGAAGCUGUGGAUACCUUUUAGGUAUGGUAGGAGAGCGUUCUAUGUGUGAUGAAGGUGUACCGUGAGGAGCGCUGGAACGCAUAGAAGUGAGAAUGCCG